CUACGCGUCCCAGGAUGCCGCGCGCGGCCGCGGGGCGAGGGUUUGAACCGGGGUCUGCCGCCCGCGGCGGGCCUGCGUCGGCUGCGGCGGGUGCGGGAGGUGGCGACGGCCGGGGCUGGGGUCCCAGCCAGGCGGCGGAGGUGGGCGCGGCGGCCGCGGGGGGCGCUGCUCCUGAGGUGAUGAUGGGCAAGGAGGAGGAGAUUGCGCGGAUCGCCCGGAGGCUGGACAAGAUGGUGACCAAGAAGAGCGCGGAGGGAGCCAUGGACCUGCUGCGGGAGCUGAAGGCCAUGCCUAUCACACUGCACCUGCUCCAGUCCACUCGAGUUGGGAUGUCCGUCAAUGCCCUUCGGAAGCAGAGCUCUGACGAGGAGGUCAUUGCACUGGCCAAGUCCCUCAUCAAGUCCUGGAAGAAGCUCCUGGAUGCUUCAGAUGCCAAAGCCAGGGAGCGGGGGAGGAGCACCCCUCUGCCCACAUCUUCAAGGGAUGCCUCAGAGGCCCAGGAUCCCAGCCGAAAGAGGCCGGAGCUGCCCAGGACACCGUCCACUCCGAGGAUCACCACGUUUCCCCCAGUGCCCGUCACCUGUGAUGCUGUGCGCAACAAGUGCCGUGAGAUGCUGGCCAUUGCCCUGCAGACGGACCAUGACCAUGUGGCCAUCGGUGCGGACUGCAAGCGUCUGUCGGCUCAGAUCGAGGAAUGCAUCUUCCGGGAUGUGGGGAACACAGACAUGAAGUAUAAGAACCGUGUGCGGAGCCGUAUCUCCAACUUGAAGGAUGCUAAGAAUCCUGACCUGCGGCGGAACGUGCUGUGUGGGGCCAUCACGCCCCAGCAGAUCGCCGUGAUGACCUCAGAGGAGAUGGCCAGUGACGAGCUGAAGGAGAUCCGUAAGGCCAUGACCAAGGAGGCCAUCCGAGAGCACCAGAUGGCCCGCACUGGUGGCACGCAGACGGACCUAUUCACAUGUGGCAAGUGCCGGAAGAAGAACUGCACCUACACGCAGGUGCAGACCCGCAGCUCUGAUGAGCCCAUGACCACCUUUGUUGUCUGCAACGAGUGUGGAAACCGCUGGAAGCUGUAACUCCUGGUGGGCCCCCAUGCUCCAAAUAUGACCCAUUCCAGCUGCUGUGGACAAGGCCCCUCCCUGGGGUUGGGCAGUGCUUGGGUUUGGCCCUGGUGGGUCAGCCCCAGGAGAGGAGCUUGGCUGACCUUCGGAGAUCACCUGGGGUGGCUGUGUGUGAGGGCAGCGAGGAGGGGCCUCGUGUGUGUGCCUGUCCUGUGGGGGGUGGCUGUGUGUGUGAGGGCAGUGGGGAGGGGCCUCGUGUGUGGGGCAGCUUUGUGUGAGGGCAGCAGGGAGGGGGCCUUGUGUGUGUGCCUGUCCUGUGCGGGGCGGCUCUGUGUGAGGGCAGCACACCUUGUGUGUUUGCUGACAGCCUGUGGUCCUGUAUGGAGCAGUGUCCUCCCCGCUGCCUCAGGCAUGGGCUGCUCAGGGCCUGCGUCUGCUCCUGGCACUUUAGAACACUUGUCCCCAUGCUGCUGCCUCUCUUCUUCUGGGAGUUACGGUCUCAGGGGCCUGAGCCAAUGUCAGCUUCAAAUCACUUACCUUCCCAGAAAUGUAGAGGUGGGCCUGUGAGAUGGUGAAGAUGACACUGUGCCAGGCACGAAGCCACCCCUCCUGCCCCGGCCAGCCUUCGUCUGGGGACCCUGUCCAGCUGGGCCUGGGCAGCCCCUCCUGCUGCCUCUGAGGUGCUGUGGGUCCUGCUGUUGUACCCCCACUUCACCACUAAGGAGGCUGAGGCCAAGAUCAUGGAGCCCAUGCCCUGGGCAGGGUGAAGCACAGCUACCCACUGGGGCCCCUGUUCUGAGGAGGAGUCUGGUGGAGCCCAGGGUGUGGGAGGGGCAAGCACACAGGCUGUCUCCCCUCUGGGGGGCACUGGAGCCCCCUGUCCUGGGACAAGGACACUGCUCCCCAGCCCUGAGUGUGGGACCAACCCUCAUUCUCCAGUCUCUCCCCAAACUUGGGAAAAAAAUGAGGAGAGACUUUUGCUUUAAAAAUAUCUUCAAUAAUAACAUCGUAUUUUGGGGGGCUUAGGGAUAGAGAUAAAUAUGAACAAACUUUUUUUUUGAUAAAACACAUAUCAAGGACAUGUUUCCAGGUUUAAACUUCAUGAACAUAUAAAACAGAAAUUGGGUCCUGGCACCUUGAGUGCAAGAUUCUGAGGUUCUACAUCUGGCUCUGAGGUUCUGGGUUUGGUUCUGGGGUACAGACAGCUCAAGUAGGAGGUCUCUUUAUGUCACAAAACUACACAACAUGGAGGUUCUAUAUCCACCAAAGGUUAGUCUGGGGCCUAUCAGCUGCCUGGGGAGGGGGCCCCAACGAGGCUCAUGGGUCCAGUAUGCCUCCUGGGGGGGGGACCCCUGCUCUCACCACACAAGAGUCCCCAGCCAGGAGCACCAUGCCAGCCAGCUGUGGGCGAUGAGGGGGCUUCUGACCCGCCCUGCACCUGGAGUUCCCGCUCGGGACGGUGGUCAGAGCCAGAAGACACAGCACUCCCCACUGGGUCUAGGACAGCCUCCAGGGCUGCGGACUGCAGCUGGCCAGGCUGGGCCUGCAGGCAGGUGCCCUGACAGCAACCCCGAGUCUGCCAGGGGAGGCGGCGGGGUCUGUGCUGCCAGACAGCCUAGGCCUCGGAGGAGGAUUGUGAGGGUCCCUGCAGCAGCAGGGCACGGUACGUGGGAGAGCUGAGGAAGCGCGGGUAGGAGUCCCGGUGCAUAAGCGUGUAUAUCUGCAGCUGGGCGUCGUCGAAUGUGUGUGCGGACGGCUCCUGCAUCUUCUUGUUGAUACCCUCCCGCACUCGGGAGUCCAGGCUCACCUGCAGGACAAGGCACUGGGGUCAGGGGCUUGGGAGGUGCUUUCCCCACCUAGUGCCUGGAGCAGGCUGCCCUGCCCGUUCCGGUGGCCGGCGCACCUCCCUGGGGGACAGGAUAGACACGUAGUCCUCAUAGAUGAGCCGCGCCUUCUCGUCCACCAUAUGUUGGUUGGCCUCGGCCUUCAGCUCCUCGCAGGCUAGCCAGAAGAGCAUGUUCUCCUCGCUGUACUCCGUCCGCAGGAACGCCCGGAACACGCCGCGUCCCGCUGGGCUGUGCAUCAGCUUGUCAAAGGACUGCGCCCAGCUCUGCACCUCCUCAGGACUUGGCGUGGCACUGCAGGAGUAAAAUAGCACAAUCUCGGCUCACCACAACCUCCGCUUCCCAGGUUCAAGCAAUUCUCCUGCCUCCCGAGUAGCUGGGAUUACAGAUGCCUGCCACCA